UACGAAGGGGGCUAGCGUUGUUCGGAAUUACUGGGCGUAAAGCGCACGUAGGCGGAUUGUUAAGUCAGAGGUGAAAUCCCGGAGCUCAACUUCGGAACUGCCUUUGAUACUGGCAAUCUAGAGUCCGGAAGAGGUUAGUGGAAUUCCCAGUGUAGCGGUGAAAUGCGCAGAUAUCGGGAAGAACACCUAUGGCGAAGGCAGCUCUCUGGGACGGUACUGACGCUGAGGCGCGACAGCGUGGGGAGCAAACAGG
rnacentral:rRNA from 1 species